rnacentral:rRNA from 1 species
UGGGGAAUAUUGCACAAUGGGCGCAAGCCUGAUGCAGCGACGCCGCGUGGGGGAUGACGGCCUUCGGGUUGUAAACCUCUUUCACCAUCGACGAAGGCCCGCUUUUUGGUGGGUUGACGGUAGGUGGAGAAGAAGCACCGGCCAACUACGUGCCAGCAGCCGCGGUAAUACGUAGGGUGCGAGCGUUGUCCGGAAUUACUGGGCGUAAAGAGCUCGUAGGUGGUUUGUCGCGUUGUUCGUGAAAUUCCCUGGCUUAACUGGGGGCGUGCGGGCGAUACGGGCAGACUGGAGUACUGCAGGGGAGACUGGAAUUCCUGGUGUAGCGGUGGAAUGCGCAGAUAUCAGGAGGAACACCGGUGGCGAAGGCGGGUCUCUGGGCAGUAACUGACGCUGAGGAGCGAAAGCGUGGGGAGCGAACAGGAUUAGAUACCCUGGUAGUCCACGCCGUAAACGGUGGGUACUAGGUGUGGGUUUCCUUCCUUGGGAUCCGUGCCGUAGCUAACGCAUUAAGUACCCCGCCUGGGGAGUACGGCCGCAAGGCUA